UGGGGUAUCGCCAAGCGGUAAGGCACCGGUUUUUGAUACCGGCAUUCCCUGGUUCGAAUCCAAGUACCCCAGCCA
rnacentral:tRNA from 1 species